CAGAUCGUUCGGUUUUGAGAAAAUUACACACAAGUUAUGCAAAUAUAUACAAGAAUUUCGUAAGCUGCGAAGGAAAGGAUGCUUUCGCGUGAUAUUCUGCAUACAGACAAUUCACGACAGCGAGGAAAUUUAUUAAAAGAUUGAAUUAAAAAGGACGUGCAGAAAAUGAAAAUAAUAAUAGCUACAUACUACGUAGGGAGGAGAAA